rnacentral:sRNA from 1 species
GAAAAGAAGAACAAAACCCAAUUUCACACCAGAAUUCAGGCUUGAAUGUGCUCAAUUAGUCGUUGAUAAAGGCUACCCAGUAGUCGAAGCCGCUCAGGCUAUGAAUGUAGGU